AGAAGGUUUUCCCACAAACCUAACAACACUUUACAUCUCUCAUCCUAAAAUCACUGAAGCCUUGUUCGAUUGGGGGCUGGACAACCUCACUUACCUAAAUGAACUUGAAAUUGGUGGAUGUCAGAAUCUGGUGUCCUUUCCAGAGAUGACGUUGCCUGCCUCUCUAACAAGCCUCUGCAUCUCAAAAUUCUCGAAUCUGGAAUGCCUGUCUUCCGAGGGCUUAAGAAAACUCACCUCUCUUAAAACACUCAAGAUUUUUUACUGCAAGAAGCUCAAGUGUUUUUCAGAGGAUGGCCUACCUGCCUCACUCCAGCAACUUCUAAUCAAUAAAUGUCCUCUGCUUGAAGAACGCUGCAAGAAAGAUCAGAGAGGAGAGUGGCGCAGGAUAGCUGACAUCCCUUGUGUUAAAAUUAAUCGCAGAUACAUUUAUGACACAGAAACAGACGAAGAUGAGAUAGAAAUAGAGGAAUAUGAGACAAUAACAGAGGAAGGCGAGACAGAAACAGAGGAAUGAGGAAUAAAUCCAAAGAUUGUUCAAAAGACUGACGCAUGUUGUUGCAACUUCCGACUACUAUCUGAAAACUGGAUGUGCAAAGACCCAAAAUUGAGACCCACAUUUGCUGAGAUCAUGGCUGCUUUGAAGCUGUUGCAGAAGCCAAUAGCCAAUUCUCAAGUUCCCAGGCCAAGCACAUCCACAUGCAGUGGCCGUCAGAAGGCUUUACCAUCACAAACUGCAGAAGAAGCAAGCUAGAACAGCAAACUAUACCAUCAUACCAAUUUGAGAUUGUGAUACCAUCAGUGCUGCUAUCCUCAAGAAUGCAAUCUGCAUUUGUUGUUAGUACAAGGAUGAGCAAAGGACAACAUUCCCUUUAUGUUUAACAACUAUUUAACAGAACAGUCCAUUUUACAACCAACCAAGAUGUUUCCGUGAAUUACCCAAAUCAGAUUUCUCUUGGCUUCUGGGUCCCAUCUGAGUUGGAUUAAUAUUAUCUCUCUCUUCUUAAUUAUGAUUACAAUAUAGGGGAAAAUAUCAAUGGAAAAAAUCCUCUGGCUGAGUUUAAACUGGACCCACCCUUGAAAGCAACUUUAGCCGAGUUUCUUCAAUAAUAAUAAUAAUAAUAAUAAAACAAGAAAAUCCCUCAGCUUAGCUGUUUUAUAACUCUUAUAUCUGUUUCUGGAUUGUUUUGUCUUUCAUAAUCUGUAUAUUUGGAACCAAUCUAUAUAGAAGAAGUUUGAUUAAUCUAAAUGAAAAGUGGGUGAUAAAGAAAUAAAAAAAACAUAGAUAAAAGAAAGGAUUGCAAACUUCAUAUUCCGGUAACCAAAAUUCAUCGUUGUCCAACCCCAAAGUCUCUAGUAAGAACUGUCUUCAUGAAUAGAUAAUCACAAUCUUCAAGAAAUGGAUCAGCUAUUUAUUUUGUGUCUC